rnacentral:rRNA from 1 species
AACGAACGCUGGCGGCGUGGAUAAGACAUGCAAGUCGAACGAGAGAAUUGCUAGCUUGCUAAUAAUUCUCUAGUGGCGCACGGGUGAGUAACACGUGAGUAACCUGCCCCCGAGAGCGGGAUAGCCCUGGGAAACUGGGAUUAAUACCGCAUAGUAUCGAAAGAUUAAAGCAGCAAUGCGCUUGGGGAUGGGCUCGCGGCCUAUUAGUUAGUUGGUGAGGUAACGGCUCACCAAGGCGAUGACGGGUAGCCGGUCUGAGAGGAUGUCCGGCCACACUGGAACUGAGACACGGUCCAGACACCUACGGGUGGCAGCAGUCGAGAAUCAUUCACAAUGGGGGAAACCCUGAUGGUGUGACGCCGCGUGGGGGAAUGAAGGUCUUCGGAUUGUAAACCCCUGUCAUGUGGGAGCAAAUUAAAAAGAUAGUACCACAAGAGGAAGAGACGGCUAACUCUGUGCCAGCAGCCGCGGUAAUACAGAGGUCUCAAGCGUUGUUCGGAAUCACUGGGCGUAAAGCGUGCGUAGGCUGUUUCGUAAGUCGUGUGUGAAAGGCGCGGGCUCAACCCGCGGACGGCACAUGAUACUGCGAGACUAGAGUAAUGGAGGGGGAACCGGAAUUCUCGGUGUAGCAGUGAAAUGCGUAGAUAUCGAGAGGAACACUCGUGGCGAAGGCGGGUUCCUGGACAUUAACUGACGCUGAGGCACGAAGGCCAGGGGAGCGAAAGGGAUUAGAUACCCCUGUAGUCCUGGCAGUAAACGGUGCACGCUUGGUGUGCGGGGGAUCGACCCCCUGCGUGCCGGAGCUAACGCGUUAAGCGUGCCGCCUGGGGAGUACGGUCGCAAGAUUAAAACUCAAAGAAAUUGACGGGGACCCGCACAAGCGGUGGAGUAUGUGGCUUAAUUCGAUGCAACGCGAAGAACCUUACCUGGGCUUGACAUGUAAUGAACAACAUGUGAAAGCAUGCGACUCUUCGGAGGCGUUACACAGGUGCUGCAUGGCCGUCGUCAGCUCGUGUCGUGAGAUGUUUGGUUAAGUCCAGCAACGAGCGCAACCCCUGUUGCCAGUUACCAGCACGUGAAGGUGGGGACUCUGGCGAGACUGCCCAGAUCAACUGGGAGGAAGGUGGGGACGACGUCAGGUCAGUAUGGCCCUUAUGCCCAGGGCUGCACACGUACUACAAUGCCCAGUACAGAGGGGGCCGAAGCCGCGAGGCGGAGGAAAUCCUGAAAACUGGGCCCAGUUCGGACUGUAGGCUGCAACCCGCCUACACGAAGCCGGAAUCGCUAGUAAUGGCGCAUCAGCUACGGCGCCGUGAAUACGUUCCCGGGUCU